rnacentral:rRNA from 1 species
ACCUGCAGAAGAAGCGCCGGCUAAUUACGUGCCAGCAGCCGCGGUAAUACGUAGGGCGCAAGCGUUGUCCGGAAUUAUUGGGCGUAAAGAGCUCGUAGGCGGUUUGUCGCGUCUGCUGUGAAAGCCCGGGGCUCAACCCCGGGUCUGCAGUGGGUACGGGCAGACUAGAGUGCAGUAGGGGAGACUGGAAUUCCUGGUGUAGCGGUGAAAUGCGCAGAUAUCAGGAGGAACACCGAUGGCGAAGGCAGGUCUCUGGGCUGUUACUGACGCUGAGGAGCGAAAGCAUGGGGAGCGAACAGGAUUAGAUACCCUGGUAGUCCAUGCCGUAAACGUUGGGCACUAGGUGUGGGGGACAUUCCACGUUUUCCGCGCCGUAGCUAACGCAUUAAGUGCCCCGCCUGGGGAGUACGGCCGCAAGGCUAAAACUCAAAGGAAUUGACGGGGGCCCGCACAAGCGGCGGAGCAUGCGGAUUAAUUCGAUGCAACGCGAAGAACCUUACCAAGGCUUGACAUUCACCGGACCGCCCUAGAGAUGGGGUUUCCCUUCGGGGCUGGUGGACAGGUGGUGCAUGGUUGUCGUCAGCUCGUGUCGUGAGAUGUUGGGUUAAGUCCCGCAACGAGCGCAACCCUCGUUCUAUGUUGCCAGCACGUGAUGGUGGGGACUCAUAGGAGACUGCCGGGGUCAACUCGGAGGAAGGUGGGGAUGACGUCAAAUCAUCAUGCCCCUUAUGUCUUGGGCUUCACGCAUGCUACAAUGGCCGGUACAAAGGGUUGCGAUACUGUGAGGUGGAGCUAAUCCCAAAAAGCCGGUCUCAGUUCGGAUUGAGGUCUGCAACUCGACCUCAUGAAGUCGGAGUCGCUAGUAAUCGCAGAUCAGCAACGCUGCGGUGAAUACGUUCCCGGGCCUUGUACACACCGCCCGUCAAGUCACGAAAGUUGGUAACACCCGAAGCCGGUGGCCUAACCCCUUGUGGGAGGGAGCCGUCGAAGGGGAGGGUUU